CGACCCCAGCUUAGGCAAUAACACCCGCUGAGUUUAAGCAUAUAAUUAAGUGGAGGAAAAGAAACUUACAAGGAUUCCCUUAGUAACGACGAGCGAACAAGGAAGUGCCCAACAUGAAAAUCGGGUGGAAGUGUCGCCUGAAUUGUAGUUUGUAGAAGCAUCCUUAGCAGUGGACUGGGCCCAAGUCCCCUAGAAGGGGGCACCUGAGAGGGUAACAGCCCCGUCGGGCCAGGACCCUACUGCACCACGAGGCAUUGUCGGUGAGUCGGGUUGUUUGGGAAUGCAUCCCUAAUCGGGUGGUAAAUUCCAUCCAAGGCUAAAUACGGGUGAGACACCGAUAGCGAACAAGUACUGCAAGGGAAAUAUGAAAAGGACUUUGAAAAGAGAGUGAAAGAGUGCUUGAAAUUGCCGGGAGGGAAGCGGAUGGAGGCCGGCGAUGCGUCUCGGUUGGAUGCGGAACGAAUCAAGAUGGUCCGCCACUCGAAUCGAGGUGCGAACCAGCACAGGCCGUUGCAUCGACACAAGCGUGGGUGGAGUACUGCCUAUUGGUUUGUCAUUGUGGUAGUCGAGGAAUGAAGCAUGUGCCCUUGGGGCGGGCCACUGUGCAUCUGCACGCUCAUGGUGUUGGUUGGCAGGCUUUCCAUGUGACCCAUCUUGAAACACGGACCAAGG
rnacentral:ncRNA from 1 species